ensembl:snRNA U6 U6 spliceosomal RNA
GUGCUCGCUUCGGCAGCGCAUACACGAAAAUUGGAACGAUGCAGAGGACAUUAGCAUAGCCCCCGUGCAAGGAUGACACGCAAAUUCAAUUCGUGAGGCAUUGUGUG